AUUAAAUCUAAGGCAUUCCGCCGCAUUACUGAGUUACUACAAAUCUUCAGGCCUCUAAAUUUAUCUAGAGAUAAGCCAGGCAUGAUCCCAUGUAGGGCAAUGUACUGAACUCAAAAAUAAACUCAUUCUAAUUAUAAAAGUGACAGAAAAACAAAUUCCUAAAUAAGGAGGUGAUGCGAAGAAAACUUCGGUACCUUCAACUCUCAUGGCAAGAACAACCGUCACCCUACUGACUCUUUAUCUUCUCGGCGUGAAUCGCUGCAGUGAUUUUCUUCCAGCACCUGAUUGCGAUGAUUGUUGGGA
rnacentral:misc_RNA from 1 species